rnacentral:lncRNA from 1 species
ACAAGUUUAACAUUCUUAAAAAAGAGGUAACCCAGCAAAGCUCAGGCAAUGCCAACAUGUCUCUCCUUCCACUUCUUCUAGAAAAGCAGAGGUGCUGGGAGAAACUGGGAGCCAGAGCCUGCUCUUUCCCAUUCAGAGGGAGGCAGCGGAGGCGAAGGACCAGGAGCAGGAACUCUGAAGCCAGUUUGACAGCACAUUUGCGUCAUAGUGGUUGCAAGAGGUUGAGAACUCUGGGGAGCCCACAGGCCAGCAGCCCUCUGGCCCCGUUCCCCACAUCGCUGCUUCACUGUCGCCAGACUGCCACCCGUUCUUGCCAACGCCUCUGGUCACAAGGCUGGCUAGUUUCUGACGACCGCUUUGAAGACGCUCACCCCGCGCGCCUUGGAGAAACGUGCAAACCAUAUAGGAAAUAUGCACAGUUCACUACUGCCCUCUGCUGCAUGGAAGGAUGAGGAGAACAGAACUAUCACAGAAGAGCUCUUACCUGUCCUCCACUUACCUGACCUGCUGUAUUAACCUACAUCAGCCAUUCUUUAUGUAAAAUAUGUUAACUGACUCUCAUCACAAAAUGAGCCCUUGGAUUAGAUCGUUAGUGCGUCUAGAAAGCCUCAUACCUUUAGAGUGAAGAGGGUAAUUAAAAAAAGAAACUCAUCAGACAAGAAGAGCUUCAAGAAGCAGCUGCUGUUUCAGAGACGAGGUCUGGAAGAAAAUUCUCUCACUACUAAUAGGUCAGUAUAAUUUCUCUCAGAUGGUCAGUAUCUUAUUGUGGGAAGAACAUUUAGAGAACAUGUCAUUCAAAUGCUCGGUUAAUGAUAAAAUCUUCUUGCUGCAAACCAACAUGAGUCAAUUUUCUCUUUUAGAAACUAUGAAGUUCUUUUUAGCAUAUGACAAAGCCUACAGCUAUGAGAGGGAAAGACUAUGCCCCUCUUACUAACAGGUGGUUUGCUACUAUAGAAGCAAGUCUUAGACCAUAUUCUGCCAAAUAUGCCAACAUUUAUCAGCAAACAAAAAGUCAUCCAAUUUAGUCAUGCACACUGGGAGAAUCCCCACUCCGUCAUCACGCACCCUCAAGAGUAGAGUGCAGUACCAGUCUUUCGGCAGAAUCAUCCAACACUCUAGUAAGUCCAAAAAUGACUCCUGUAUGCAAUGGGCUGGAGUGGUAGUGGGGGGAGAGUUAGAAGCAAAUAUUACACGGGCAAUAUCACAUCCCACUCUAAAAGACAAGAGUAUCUUUUUACACUGUCAAAAAUAACGUUAUCAAAAUAACACCUAAUAAAACUAAAGAUUAUUCCUGAAUAUCA